rnacentral:rRNA from 1 species
GAUGAACGCUGGCGGCGUGCCUAAUACAUGCAAGUCGAACGAACAGACCAGGACUUUGCUCCUCUGACGUUAGCGGCGGACGGGUGAGUAACACGUGGAUAACCUACCUCUAAGACUGGGGUAACUUCGGGAAACCGGAUCUAAUACCGGAUGAUAUAUUGAACCGCAUUGUUCAAUAGUUAAAUACGGUUUUUCUGUCACUUAUAGCUUGAUCCGCGCCGCAUUAGCUAGUUGGUAAGGUAAGGUAUUACCAAGGCAAGGAUGCGUAGCCGACCUCAGAGGCGGCGCGGCCAAGCUGGAAUGAGAAGACGGUCAGGCACACUACGGGAGGCAGAAGUAGGGGACUUUUCGCAAUGGGAGCAGGCGUGACGAUGCGACGCCGGGCGAGUGAUGAAGGCCUUAGGAUCGAGAAACUCUGUUAUGAGGGAAGAACAAAUGUCUCAGUAACUCUGCACGUCUUGACGGUACCCAAUCAGAAAGCCACGGCUAACCACGUG